CUGCAGGCAAUUAAGCUGACCGGCCCCCUCUCCCCCUGGGGGCCCGGUGUGCAGUGGCUGCGGAUAGCAGCCUCCUUGGUAGUGUAUGUGGCCUGUUGCCUGUACGGGUUGCCCUAAGGGACCUUGGAGCCAGCC
rnacentral:snoRNA from 1 species